rnacentral:rRNA from 1 species
CGAUGUCGAUUUGGAGUUUGUUGCCUAGAGUGAUGGGCUCCGAAGCUAACGCGAUAAAUCGACCGCCUGGGGAGUACGGCCGCAAGGUUAAAACUCAAAUGAAUUGACGGGGGCCCGCACAAGCGGUGGAGCAUGUGGUUUAAUUCGAUGCAACGCGAAGAACCUUACCUGGUCUUGGCAUCCAUAGAAUUCUGCAGAGAUGUGGGAGUGCCUUCGGGAACUAUGAGACAGGUGCUGCAUGGCUGUCGUCAGCUCGUGUUGUGAAAUGUUGGGUUAAGCCCCGCAACGAGCGCAACCCUUAUUCUUUGUUGCCAGCGAUUUGGUCGGGAACUCAAAGGAGACUGCCGUUGAUAAAGCGGAGGAAGGUGGGGACGACGUCAAGUCAUCAUGGCCCUUACGACCAGGGCUACACACGUGCUACAAUGGCGUAUACAAAGGAAAGCGAAGGUGCGAGCUGGAGCGGAUCUCAUAAAGUACGUCUAAGUUCGGAUUGGAGUCUGCAACUCGACUCCAUGAAGUCGGAAUCGCUAGUAAUCGUAGAUCAGAAUGCUACGGUGAAUACGUUCCCGGGCCUUGUACACACCGCCCGUCACACCAUGGGAGUGGGUUGCACCAGAAGUAGAUAGCUUAACCGCGAGGGGGGCGUUUACCACGGUGUGAUUCAUGACUGGGGUGAAGUCGUAACAAGGUAACCA